GGGAUUGCCUCAGUAACGGCGAGUGAAGCGGCAACAGCUCAAAUUUGAAAUCUGGCCCCUCUGGGGUCCGAGUUGUAAUUUGUAGAGAGUGCUUCGGGUGAGACCGCGGUCUAAGUCCAUUGGAACAUGGCGUCAUAGAGGGUGAGAAUCCCGUAUGUGAUCGUGGCUCGAGCCCGUGUGAAGCCUCUUCGACGAGUCGAGUUGUUUGGGAAUGCAGCUCAAAAUGGGUGGUAAAUUUCAUCUAAAGCUAAAUACUGGCUGGAGACCGAUAGCGCACAAGUAGAGUGAUCGAAAGAUGAAAAGCACUUUGGAAAGAGAGUCAAAAAGUACGUGAAAUUGUUGAAAGGGAAGCGCUUGCAACCAGACCUGCCCGUAGGCGAUCAGCCGCUGUUCUCAGCGGUGCACUCGCUCUGCGAUCAGGCCAGCAUCGGUUUUGGCGGUCGGAUAAAGGCCUUGGGAAUGUAGCUUCCCUUCGGGGGAGUCUUAUAGCCCUCGGUGCAAUGCGGCCAGCCGAGACCGAGGACCGCGCUUCGGCUAGGAUGCUGGCGUAAUGGUUGUAAGCGACCCGUCUUGAAACACGGACCAAGGAGUCUAUUAUCGAUGCGAGUGUUUGGGUGUCAAACCCAUGCGCGAAAUGAAAGUGAACGGAGGUGAGAACCCUUAAGGGCGCAUCAUCGACCGAUCCAGAUGUCUUCGGAUGGAUUUGAGUAUGAGCAUCGCUAAUGGGACCCGAAAGGCAAGUGAACCCACCCCCCGAUAACAUUGAGCUUUAGCUAACAUUUUAUUUAGAUGGUGAACUAUGCCUGAAUAGGGUGAAGCCAGAGGAAACUCUGGUGGAGGCUCGCAGCGGUUCUGACGUGCAAAUCGAUCGUCAAAUUUGGGUAUAGGGGCGAAAGACUAAUC
rnacentral:rRNA from 1 species